rnacentral:ncRNA from 2 species
CUCCCGGGCUCUGCCUCCCGUGCCUACUGAGCUGAUACUCAGUCGCUUUGCUUAAACUGGCUCAGUUCAGCAGGAACAGGAGUCGGGCUCCAGCC